GUUCACUGCCGAGCAGGCAGCUUAGAAA
rfam:Triticum urartu cultivar G1812 contig243019, whole genome shotgun sequence.